GUGGGGAAUAUUGGACAAUGGGCGCAAGCCUGAUCCAGCCAUGCCGCGUGAGUGAUGAAGGCCUUAGGGUUGUAAAGCUCUUUCAGUGGGGACGAUAAUGACGGUACCCACAGAAGAAGCCCCGGCUAACUUCGUGCCAGCAGCCGCGGUAAUACGAAGGGGGCUAGCGUUGUUCGGAUUUACUGGGCGUAAAGCGCACGUAGGCGGAUCGUUAAGUCGGGGGUGAAAUCCUGGAGCUCAACUCCAGAACUGCCUUCGAUACUGGCGAUCUUGAGUCCGGAAGAGGUGAGUGGAACUCCUAGUGUAGAGGUGGAAUUCGUAGAUAUUCGGAAGAACACCAGUGGCGAAGGCGACUCACUGGCCCAAUACUGACGCUGAGGCGCGAAAGCGUGGGGAGCAAACAGGAUUAGAAACCCGUGUAGUCC
rnacentral:rRNA from 1 species